rnacentral:rRNA from 1 species
AUUGAACGCUGGCGGCAGGCCUAACACAUGCAAGUCGAGCGGAUGAAGGGAGCUUGCUCCUGGAUUCAGCGGCGGACGGGUGAGUAAUGCCUAGGAAUCUGCCUGGUAGUGGGGGAUAACGUCCGGAAACGGGCGCUAAUACCGCAUACGUUCUGAGGGAGAAAGUGGGGGAUCUUCGGACCUCACGCUAUCAGAUGAGCCUAGGUCGGAUUAGCUAGUUGGUGGGGUAAGGGCCUACCAAGGCGACGAUCCGUAACUGGUCUGAGAGGAUGAUCAGUCACAUUGGAACUGAGACACGGUCCAGACUCCUACGGGAGGCAGCAGUGGGAAAUAUUGGACAAUGGGGGAAAGCCUGAUCCAGCCCUGCCGCGUGUGUGAAGAAGGUCUUCGGAUUGUAAAGCACUUUGAGUUGGGAGGAAGGGCAGUAAGUUAAUACCUUGCUGUUUUGACGUUACCAACAGAAUAAGCACCGGCUAACUUCGUG